rnacentral:lncRNA from 1 species
CCCAGUUAUUUAUAUAUUCCAACAUUAAUUUCCAGAGCCUUCUCCAAACUCUUCCCCUGCAUCUUCCUCUGAUUUUCACCUAGGGUUCAUCACAUUCCAUUGAAGAACAAGGAAUUUCCACAUGCUUUCUCCAACAACAAGAAGCAAAGGUAAGUACUUUCUUCAAUACCUGCGCCCUGGCCAAGGCUGUGGAUGCCUCUAGAGCUCGGUGCUCCAGUUCUACCUCCCUUUCCAUAGAAGCCUAUUCUUACAGAUGAAAUGAAUUAUUAAAUCGCAACAGCACAUCAAAAAACAAAAUUCCACAUGCAAAGGGCUUCACUCUAGGUGGGACCACUGUGGUAGAUGCAUUUCAGAUUCAGAGAGUGGGUUGCAGGGGAGCGGCGUUGGAAACGCAUCU